CCUACGGGUGGCAGCAGUGGGGAAUAUUGCACAAUGGGGGAAACCCUGAUGCAGCGACGCCGCGUGAGUGAAGAAGUAAUUCGUUAUGUAAAGCUCUAUCAGCAGGGAAGAAAAUGACGGUACCUGAGUAAGAAGCCCCGGCUAACUACGUGCCAGCAGCCGCGGUCAUACGUAGGGGGCAAGCGUUAUCCGGAUUUACUGGGUGUAAAGGGAGCGUAGACGGCGCUGCAAGUCCGGAGUGAAAGCCCAUGGCUUAACCAUGGUACUGCUCUGGAAACUGUGGAGCUUGAGUGCGGGAGGGGCAGGCGGAAUUCCUAGUGUAGCGGUGAAAUGCGUAGAUAUUAGGAGGAACACCGGCGGCGAAGGCGGCCUGCUAGACCGUAACUGACGUUGAGGCUCGAAAGCGUGGGGAGCAAACAGGAUUAGAUACCCCUAGUC
rnacentral:rRNA from 1 species